GACGAACGCUGGCGGCGCGCUUAACACAUGCAAGUCGAACGGAAAGGCCUGCUUUCCCUUGUGGCUUUCGGGUACUCGAGUGGCGAACGGGUGAGUAACACGUGAGUGAUCUGCCCCCAACUUGGGUAUAAGCCUGGGAAACUGGGUCUAAUUCCCGAUAGGACUGCAGGGUUGUGCCUGUGGUGGAAAACGAUUUUCUAGUGGUUGGGGAUGAGCUCGCGGCCUAUCAGCUUGUUGGUGGGGUAAUGGCCUACCAAGGCGGCGACUGGUAGCCGGCCUGGGAGGGUGGACGGUGAAAGUGAGACUGAGACCAGGCCCAGACGGCAAGGGGAGGUAGAGGAUGUGAAUCUAGGAGAGAGGGCGGAAGCCUGAAGCAGCGCGGGAGCGAGGAGGAUGAUGGCAUCGGGGUUGUAUACUACUAGCGAAGGAGAGGAAGCUAACUGGCUGGAAGGGUGGUGACGGUAGUGGUAGAAGAAGCACCGGCUAACUACGUG
rnacentral:rRNA from 1 species